GGGAAUGUGGCUUAGUGGUAGAGUACUUGCCUUGCAUGCAAUGAAGCUCUGGGUUCAAUUCCUCACUACCA
rnacentral:tRNA from 1 species